ACUAUACUUUCUUUUAGGUGUGUGAGAAUAAAAAAAAAUGAAAAAUUCGUUUCCAAAUAAGUUAUUUUCAACCGUAUAUUACCAAUAGUCAAAUACAAACCAACAUGAGUUGUGUUGUAGUGGUAGAUUGCUCCACCCUUAAUUAGAGGUCUCACCUUCGAGACUGGGUAUGAAAAAAUCCUAUUGUGAACGGUAUCUCAGAAUAAGCCCUGCAACGCACGAUCUGAAUUAGUCGGGACUUCAAUAUGAACACCAAAAAUUGAGUGGAAAACAAAAAAAAAAUAGUCACAUACAAUGAUUUCUUUAUUUUAAUAAUUUAAGAAAUUUUAGAAUAAAUGCGCCAAAUUUAGAAUCAUUCUGCUGAUAAUUUAACCAACGAGGUGACGGUGGGAGGUUGCGGUUGCCAAUCUGAAGCCAAACAACGCAUGUGACUUCAACCAAACUACCAAAGGCUAAAAAGCCAAUUAUCAUUUCCCUUCUCCUUUUUUUUUUAAUUAAAAUGUUCAUUUAAAACUUCACUCCUCCAAAUAUUACUUUGAUUUCAGAACAAGUGCUCUAAGGGUGUGUUUGAUGCCAAGGAAAUAUUUUUCAUAACUCACUUUCAACUUUAUUAUGCAACUUGAAGCCUAACUUAGGACCUGACUCUUAAUCCCGACUCUCGACCUUGAUCAUGACACCAUCCAGGACCAAAUGACCUCGAUCCGAGACCCGAAUCAGGACUAGACUCACAAACCCAUUCCUGAUUUCCGACCCUAAUUCGAGAUCAAACUCGAGAUAGAAUCUUACUCCCAAGCCUGAUCCAACCCUUACCCCGAAUCCCGACUCUCUACUCCCACCCGACGUAGACCCGACUCCUGAGCCUGACCCUAAUUCGGGACUCGCUCGCCCUCAACUUAACCCCAACUCAAGGUCAAGGUUGGGUCAAUGCUAAAAUUUGGGCUCCUAAUCUCGGUUUGGGAUCAAAGCCAAGGUUAGGUCCUAGGUUGAUUAGGUCUCGGGUAGUGGUUAGGAUUAUUUUUGGAUCCCAAUUUAGGAUGGGCUCAAUAGCUUGUUUCAACAUGCCUGCUUCAUUAUAUCUUACGUGGUUUUUAGAGGUGUAAUGAAUUGACACGGCAUUAUUUAUGUGUCUUAACUUCAUCUUUAAACUUCUUUCUUCACCACAUCUCUCUUGAUUCACCAUUCAUCCCAGGUCACGCUCCUUCGAAUUACUUCUUUGAUUUUUUUCUAACUUUUUUAAUCCAAGUCUGUGAUUUUGUUGUUUUCUCUUUCUUGUAAUUGUAAUUGGUAACCUUACGAAACUAUGAUUUAGAGUAUAAUGAGAUACUGGAAUUGGUGCAAACCUGCUAUUGUAGUUGUAAUUGUUAAUCUCUGGCGGGGUCUAUCGGAAAUAGCCUUUCUACUUCAUCAGAGGUAGAGGUAUGGACUGCGUACAUCUUACCCCCAGACUCCACUAGGUGGGAAUACACUGGGUUUGUUGUUGUUGUUGUUGUCCUUUUUGUUGAAACCCUAAUCGAUUUUCUCAUUGGUUAUUUUGGUUGUUGCAUUAAAACUUGUGAAAUCAAUUUCACCAUUCACGAAGUCUCGAUUAUUAGCGGAGAAUCGUUGUUGCUCCACAACAGAGAUAACAGGUGAAGAAGAAUCGAAAAAUACCCGGAAUACUAUGAUGUCCCAUUUUAUCACAGCACUGGACGAUGGGACCUUAUAUCUGAUCAGUGCUUAUUCUUUAUGCAAAGAGGCUGAAUACACUAUUCCACGAACAAUCAAUACUGGAUUUGGUGCAUAAUACAUAAAUGUGUCCUUCAAUUUGGUCUCAGUUUGCAUCGAUGCCCUCCAAUUUUGAGUAUACACAAGUAGGCUAUGCAGGAAUUGACAGAAACAAGAUCACUUGGAUUUGCAAAGAAAUAUCUGCUAGCUAACAGGACUUCCUAAGCAUUGAUCGUACUGCUACAGAAAUAUUCCCAAAGUUGAUGUGCUGAAUCAAUAUUUUCUGUAAGCAGGUGUAUGAAGAAGAAAGUCCAAUGACACCUACCUUCUUGGUAAAUUUGAGCUUAAGCCGCAUAUCAAUAUUCUGAAAUUGCUGUUGCCAGUAUUCUGAAUGUGCCAACGGAGAACAACGUCGUUGGGAAUCGAGAACCACAUCCAUGAGGGGAUGUUGUCAUAUUAAUUCAUGUAAAUGAUAUUCAAGUAUUUCUUAGCUAUCUUUGAUCUCUAACUUUUGCUAUAGAGGAAUGACAGUGGCUCCCUCUCUGCCCCUUCUUCUAUGUUUUUCGUUCUACUUUGUCUUUCACUAUUUCUUUUAAAUAGAAGUAGAGAGUUUUAUCUCUUCCAUUUUCAUCAA